rnacentral:rRNA from 1 species
GACGGAGGGUGCUAGCGUUGUUCGGAAUGACUGGGCGUAAAGGGCGCGUAGGCGAUCUGACAAGUCUGGUGUGAAAGCCCACAUGUUAACUGUGGAAGUGCAUUAGAAACUGUUGGAUUUGAGUUCAGGAGAGGAAGGCAGAAUUCCCGGUGUAGCGGUGAAAUGCGUAGAGAUCGGGAGGAAUACCAGUGGCGAAGGCGGCCUUCUGGACUGACACUGACGCUGAGGCGCGAAAGCCAGGGGAGCAAACGGG